ACCUCUAUUAAGUGAGUUCCUGAUUUUUCUGCAUAUAAUUUGAAACAAAAUCAAAAUCAAUCCCAUAAAAUUAGGAGGUUCGUAUUCUUUUUUAUACCGGAUUCAAUCACACAACUGUUAUUCAUCCCUAAAUCUCGCCAAAACGCUUAUAUCACUCAAUGCUCUCCAAAUACAAAUUAUGAAAUCCCCGGAUACCUACUAGCUUCAUCGAUUCUCCAAUAACUUUUUUCAUUAUUUCCCUUCAAAUUCGAAAAAUACAUGCUCCAGUUUCAACUUUCGUCAGUCUGUUGUGGUUGAUCUGGAAAACAUAUCUACAUAUAUGGAUAUGAUAGUUGGGGGAAAGCACAAAGUCGACCGAAAGAUCAGAAGUGAAUCCUUUGUUAAAGUUCAUCAAGAGAAGAAUGUUGAUACGCUUGAAAUCGUCGGCGUCAAGAUCAUAGGUACUAUAUGCAGAAUUGAAAUUUCUUAUCGACCGAGUCUUUGAGUAUAAUUUUAUCAAGUUUAACAAGCUUGAAGUUUCUUAGUUUGGUUUCGUUAGGAAUCCGGGCCCAAUUCCUUACAAUAUAAGACUGAACACAUUUGAGUACAUUGAUUUGAAUGCUUCCAGGGUUGACUUAAUUCCACCAACUUUUUUCAAGAAUGGUGAGUUUUCAAAAUGUUAAUCUUGGGGGGAAUUUCUUGAUUUCUACCAAACAGGGUUGAUUUAUUAUCAAAGGGGGAAUUUCUUGAUUUCUACCAAACAAGGUUGAUUUAUUAUCAAAUUUGAUCAAUUUAAGUUUUAGUGAAAAUGAAUUUUUUGGUCAAUUACCAGAUCUAUUUGAUUUGGUAAACACAUUUUUAUCUCAAAAACUAUUUUUUUUUUCUGGUCAAAUCAUGUUCAGAUAUGGUUAGCUCAAUCAUCUUCAAAUGCUCAAUCUUUCAUUCAAUCCACUCUUUGAUGUCUCGCCAUUUUCUUUAUUCUCACUGUCAUCCAUUACUUACUUGAAUCUAACAUCAAAAAAAGUUGUAUGGAUGGGAAUUGCCUCAUGAUUGAUGUGACAGGUCAGCAUCUAACUACUUAUUAAGUAGAAGAAGCUUGACGGGUAGAAAUUGAGAACUAAAGGUUUCAAAGAUUCUUAACAUAUAAGGAAUCCAAUUAUAUUUAUAUUAGCAUCUAAAAAGCUUUGUGCUCAAGGUGUAUCAAAACUGAAAUUGUUACAUAAAUCGGUACAGGAUUACUCUUUUACGGGCUACUCAUCCGAACAUUUAACCAGUUCAAGUAAGUAUGGUAUGCGAGUUUCCUUUUUACUUAAUGUACCGAAUGGGUACAGAUGAAUGUAUAUAAAAAUUUUCUUUUUUUCCUUGAUGUAUAAAGAAACUUUCGUUAAUACUUAAUGCAUUGAGAAUUUCUUAAUGAGUAUUUAGUGAAGGAGGGGAUCUUUAAACAUCUCAAUAAAACUAAAUUUCCGAUUAUACCCUUGUGCUCCUAUAUUUGACUUGUCUUUUUUUGCCAACACGCCACCACCAAGUUACAAAGAGGUACUAUUUCUCACCAUAUUUUUGUCUUUUUUGCUUGAUAUUUUUAUUGGGUUCUUUUCUCUGUUUCAAGUAUUGACUAAGAGAAAUUGCUUAUAUCUAAAGACAGUUAUUUUGGCCUACCCCAACUCUUUACUGGCAUUUACUAUUUGAUGGCUAAUAUAUUGCGAGCUUUUAUCUUAUAUCGUUGUGAUUAUUUCCUAAAGCAAUUAAAAUUUAAAAUGAACUCAUUGUAGGCAUGGGAUCUGGUAAGAGUUGCCAAAGUAUAAAGAAAAAUUGGCGAAUUAUGAAGAACAUGGGUUGAAGUUGUGAUGACAAUAGAAUUUCCUUCAUCAUUCUAAAGAUGAAUAUGCACAAUUUUUCUUGAAAGUUCAGAUGCUUAUAGAAUCAAGAGUGGAAGUGAUGGAAAUUUGGUUGCUAGAAGGAAGACUUUAACAAAUGGUGAACAAUUCUUCCUUUGUAUGAAACAUUGAUUUGCUUAUGUUAAAUAUAAAGUAAUAUAAAAUCACAUUUUGUUUAUGAUGGAAGGAAUUGUAAAGCUGUUAAGUGGCUAUUGUAAUCCUGGAACAAACAUUGACUUACUUAUCAAAUAAUAGAUUGGUAGAAAGAUAAGAUUUUAGAUCAUAAACUUUGAUAUC